rnacentral:rRNA from 1 species
UACGUAGGGGGCAAGCGUUGUCCGGAUUUAUUGGGCGUAAAGAGCGUGUAGGCGGCUUGUUAAGUCUUGCGUGAAAUCUCGGGGCUCAACCCCGAGCGGUCGUGAGAAACUGGCAGGCUAGAGUGCGGGAGAGGAGAGUGGAAUUCCUGGUGUAGCGGUGAAAUGCGCAGAUAUCAGGAAGAACACCCGUGGCGAAGGCGGCUCUCUGGAACGCAACUGACGCUGAGAAGCGAAAGCGUGGGGAGCGAACAGG